AAACGGGCGCAGUGCCCGCGGCGGCGGCACGCGCGCAUCUGGGAUCCGGCCGCUUCUCCGCUCAUGCCAUCUUGUCCGAGCCAGUCACGUGCGGGCGACAGCGGCGCGCUUCGCCGGGCCGGUACUCCAGGUCCGACCCGCGAACCCCUCUGGGAUCCCCGCCGCUCUGUCUACAACCCGAGAAACGAAGUCUCACUGUGUUGUCCAGGCUGGUCUCAAGCUCCUGGGCUCAAGCAAUACUUCCACCUCAGCCUCCCAAAAUGCUGGGAUUACAGAUGGAGUCUUGCUCUGUCGCCCAGGCUGGAGUGCAGUGAUGCGAUCUCGGCUCACUGCAACCUCCACCUCCCCUGGUUCAAGUGAUUCUCCUGCCUCAGCCUCCCAAGUAGCUGGGACUACAAGCCCGUGCCACCAUGCCCAGCACUUUCAUUUGGACCCGUGGAUACCCAUUGAACAGAUGCUUGAAACCUGCAAGUAAUCUUCAGAUCCUAGCAGAACCAUAGGCCUUUCCUUUGUUUUGGGAGGAUAUAGCCUGCCUAUAUGCUGUGGAAAUGAACGGGGAGCAGCAGCUUGAUGCAGAUGCCGGCUCUGGUAUGGAAGAGGUAGAAUUAAGCUGGGAAGAUUAUCUAGAAGAAACAGGGUCCACAGCAGUUCCCUAUGGGUCUUUUAAACAUGUGGACACACGUUUGCAAAAUGGAUUUG
rnacentral:lncRNA from 10 species